rnacentral:rRNA from 1 species
AUUGAGCGCUGGCGGCAUGCCUUACACAUGCAAGUCGAACGGUAACGGGCCUUCGGGUGCCGACGAGUGGCGAACGGGUGAGUAAUACAUCGGAACGUGCCCGAUCGUGGGGGAUAACGAGGCGAAAGCUUUGCUAAUACCGCAUACGAUCUACGGAUGAAAGCAGGGGACCGCAAGGCCUUGCGCGGACGGAGCGGCCGAUGGCAGAUUAGGUAGUUGGUGGGAUAAAAGCUUACCAAGCCGACGAUCUGUAGCUGGUCUGAGAGGAUGAUCAGCCACACUGGGACUGAGACACGGCCCAGACUCCUACGGGAGGCAGCAGUGGGGAAUUUUGGACAAUGGGCGCAAGCCUGAUCCAGCCAUGCCGCGUGCAGGAUGAAGGCCUUCGGGUUGUAAACUGCUUUUGUACGGAACGAAAAGCCUUCUUUUAAUACAGGGGGGUCAUGACGGUACCGUAAGAAUAAGCACCGGCUAACUACGUG